rnacentral:misc_RNA from 1 species
GGGCCAACCAUGAAGUCUUGGGUCUUGCUUUUGUUCCUCUGCGAAAUGAUCAUCUGCUACGAGCGAAAGAAAACCUUGUGUUUGUAAGUGCCCGUUUGGGAUUCCCUAAUUUCUUUUAUUUAUAUUAAUUGUUUCCUUUGAUAGUCCUGCAAUUCUGCUAUUCACAGUCUAUAAUGUGUUUACGGAAGCCUUUUGUUAUCACUUUCUAUGGCUUCCGCUUCUUCCGCCCCUCCUCAGGUGAGUGCUCCCGAGUAUAAGGAUGAUGUUUUCAUUAGUUUUAGAGGCAACAUCCGAAACAAAUUCGUAGAUCAUCUUUAUACUGCCUUGACAGAAAAGAAUCCGUACCUUCAUGGAUAGAGAUCUUGACAGAGGAGUCGAGAUCUCACCAACCCUUUUGGAAAUUAUUGAACAAUCAAGAAUUUUAGUGCCCAUUUUCUCGGAAUACUAUGCUGAUUCUUCAUCGUGUUUGGAAGAGCUUGCAAAGAUAUCGGAAUGCUAUCAAGCGAGGAGACAGAUAGUUUUACCGGUUUUUUACGAAGUGGAUCCAACAGACGUUCGAGAGCAGAGAGGGAGCUGUAGGGUAGCUUUUGAUAAGCAUAGAGAAAAUUUCAGGAACUACUUAGCCAUGGUUGAGGGCUGGAGCAAAGCUUUAACGGAAAUAGCCCAGAUUGCAGCGUGGGAUUCGCGGAAUAGAUCUGAAGCCGAAUUAGUUGAUGAAAUUGUGAAUGACAUUUGGAAGAAGUUAAAUGAUUUGCAUCCAAGUGAUUCUCAUGACAAUGGAUUUAUUGGAAUUGAUUCAAAAGUUAAGGAAAUUGUGUCGUUGUUAGGUAAAGAAUCAUCCAAUGUGAUAGGCAUUUGGGGAAUGGUUGGUAUUGGUAAAACAACUCUUGUUGACGAAGAAUUUCGUCACAUCUCUGCUGAAUUUGAUGGUCGAUGUUUUGUUCCAAUGUUGGCAAAAGAUUAGAAACUUGUCAACCAUUCUAUUUACGAGAUGAAAUUAUUUGUAAUAUAUUGGGGGAAGAAAAGUUAAAUGUAGGUACACCCUACUCGAUAAACUCUUCUAUUAGGAGAAGGCUUCAGAGGAAAAAAAGUGCUUAUUGUGCUUGAUGACAUAAGAAGUUCAGAGCAAUUAGAAUAUUUUGUAAGAGGGUGUAAUCUUCUUGGUCCAGGAAGUCAAAUCAUUGUAACAAGCAGGGAUAGACAAGUGCUUAAGAAUUGUUGUACUGAGGGAUGCAUAUAUGAGGUCAAGAAGUUGACUGAUUGUGAAGCUCUCAAGCUCUUUAGCCUGCAUGCCUUCAAGCAAAUUCAUCCUAUGAAAGGGUAAUUGGAGCUAUCAAAAAUGGUGGUAAGCUAUGCUCAAGGACUUCCAUUAGCUCUUAGAGUUUUAGGUUCCCAUCUAUUUGGAAAGAAAACAGAGUAUGGGAAAUUGCAUUGGAAGAACUGCAAAAUACUGGUAACAAUGAAAUUCAGAAAGUUUUAAGGAUAAGUUAUGAUGGUCUAGAUGAAACCAAAAAGAAAAUCUUUCUUCACAUUGCAUGUUUCUUCACUGGUGAAGAUAGCAAUUAUGUAGAGGAUGUGCUGGAUGCUUGUGGGUUUUUUACAAAAGCUGGAAUAGAUAGUCUCAUGAUAAAUCUAUCAUAAAUGUUGAGGAUGGCAGGUUAGAGAUGCAUGAUUUGAUGGAGCAAAUGGGUAAAAAUAUUGUUUGUCAGGAAAGUCAACUCCUUGAAGAACGCACUAGAUUGUGGAAUCAUGAAGAUAUAUGUCGUGUUGAAAAUUAAUUUGGGGACCCCAAAAAUUGAAGGCAUUUCACUAGAUAUGUCCAGAAUUAAAGAUUUGGAAUUAAGUUCUGCGACCUUUGCAAGGAUGCAAAAUCUUAAAUUUCUUAAAUUUUAUAAUCAUUGGACAGAAAAAAGCAUAAUAGACAUUCCGGAGGGCCUUGAUUAUCUUCCUGGAAGCUUAAGAAUUCUCCAUUGGGAUGAAUAACCAUUGCAAUCUUUGCCAUCGAAUUUUUGUCCUCGAAAUCUUGUUCAACUACAUAUGCCUCGUAGUCGAAUAAAACAACUUUGGAGUGGAGUUGAGGUAUAUCUUAUUCUCUUAAUAAUAAAACAUAGGGUACCUCUUAAUGCUCACAUGUACUAAUUUUUUUCUUACAUGUUCUUUUAAUUACAGCCUCUUGAUAAGUUGAAAUUCAUUAACUUAAGCUAUUGCUUGGAUCUAAUUGAAUUUCCAGACUUAUCUAGAGCCCCAAAUCUUGAGGUUCUAAAUCUCGAAAGUUGUAUAAGUUUGUUUAAGGUUCCGCAAUCUAUUCAAUAUCUGAGGAAGCUUACUUUUUUUAAUUUAAAUGACUGCAAAGAACUCCGUAGUCUUCCAAGCAUUCCUUCCACAAAUCUUGAAGUUUUGUGUCUCAGGAAUUGCUCAAAAAUCAGAGACUUUCCAGAGAUAUCACGGAAUUUAAAACGGCUAGUAUUAAGUGGGUGCCCUCAUCAAUCGGAUUUUGCUCUCAGCUUCAAUAACUGUGGUUGGAUUCUUGCACAGGGCUUGAGAGUCUCCCAGACAGCAUUGGUGAAUUGAAACAUCUCCAGCUGCUUUACCUCGAGGGAUGCUCAAAACUCGUAACCCUUCCAGACAGUAUCUGCAAUCUGUAGUAUCUUGAAGUCCUGAUAAUCAGUAGUUGUGUAAACCUCAUCGGCUUUCCAGAGAACUUUGGGAACCUUAAAUGUUUGAAGAGAUUUUAUGCAGUUAAAAGUGGUAUUAGAAGACUGCCCUCCUCCAUCAGUCAGUUGAGCCAACUUGAAUAUGUUGAUUGUAGUGGAUGCCAGGAAUUGGAAUUGUGUUCUUUCACAGGUUUGACCUCUCUGAGUAAAUUAGUUCUGAAUAAUUGUGGUAUAUUUCAAAUUCCCGAUGACCUGGGCUCUUUAGCAUCAAUGAUAGAGUUGCAUUUAAGUGGGAAUAAUUUUGAGAUCCUACCUGCAAGUAUCAAACAACUUCCUAAGUUAGCUGUACUUGUUCUAAGAGAUUGCAAGAGACUUCAACUGGAACAUUUAGAUGUGCGGGGCUGCAUGUCUCUGAGAUCACUAGCUGGGUUAUUCACAGAAGGUCAGAAAAAGUAUAGAGCUGUUCUGGAGUGGUUUGAUUUUUGUAAUUGCAUGAAAUUGGAUCAGAGUGCGUGCAGUAAGAUUAUGGAUGACGCUCGGCUAAGAAUUCAAUGCAUGGCUACAUCUCUGGUUGGUCAGGUCUGCCGCUUUACCCCUCGCUGUUUUUCUCUCUUUCAGGUACUACAAAACCUUAUUUUUCAUGCUACAGGAACUUAUGGUGAGGAAUCAGAUGAAACUCUGGAAUCAGAAGAGUUCUACAAGUACGAUGAGGAGAUAUCUGAUGAACAAGUUUCAUUUGGAAAUCUAGCUAAUUUCUGUAUCCCUGGAGAGGAAUCCCACUUUGGUUCAGUUGCCAAAAUAUUGGGUCGUCAUUAUUGUUGACAGAUUUGCGACAUUGCGACAGAAGGAUGUUCAUGGGUUUUGCUUUCUGUGCAGUUGUUGUGUGCUAUGGUUGUGAUUCUUGUGUUUUCGACAUUAGAUGUCGCUGUCAUUUCAUAACCAAGUCUGGACGUAGGUGUGUGCGCAAUUCUUACUGCGGGUUUAAUCGAGUUAACAUGAAAGAGGUCGACCUGCCCCUUCAAUCAGAACAUACAUUUCUGUGUUAUGAUUCAAGUAUCUACAGGUCUGCAAGCCCUUCUGACAAGGCCUUAUUUGAAUUCCACCCCAUUCAUAGGAAUGAAAGGCGCAUACACAGAUGUGAUGUGAUUAAGUGUGGUAUCCACUUACUGUUUGCCGGAUAUGAAAUCGAGAGGAAGGAGUGCGGGAACCAGCACUUAAAAGAUUACAGUGCAACGCCUUUGUGUGUGAUAUCAUUUGCUGAAAUUUUGCCUAUUUGCUUUCAAGGCCAAUCUAGGCAUUCAAAAUUUCUGGCUGUCUUAUUGUUGGUUAAACCUAACCAAAGCGAAUGGAUUCUCAUUUGCCUCUGGCAAUCGUAAAUUAUUAUAUAUUCAAGUUGUUGGAUUUAUAGUGAGCUUGAAUAGGAGCUCUAGAUCAUCCUCUAAAA